GACCAAAAUGCCUCUGGACGCAAUUGGAUAGACCUACAGCCAAUCAGAAGAAUGAAACAUGUGACGUAGCGCUAAUCUAGAUUAAUACAGUAUUU